rnacentral:rRNA from 1 species
UUAGAGUUUGAUCCUGGCUCAGAACGUACGCUGGCGGCACGCCUAAUACAUGCAAGUCGAACGAAGUAGCAAUACUUAGUGGCAGACGGGUGAGUAACAUGUAGGUAUCUACCCUUUGGCCUGGAAUAACACGAGGAAACUUGUGCUAAUACCGGAUAAGUCUUUACGGAGAAAGCUUUAUGCACCAUUGGAUGAGCCUGCACUUGAUUAGUUUGUUGGUGGGGUAAUGGCCUACCAAGACAAUGAUCAAUAGCUGAUUUGAGAGGAUGAUCAGCCACAUUGGGACUGAGACACGGCCCAAACUCCUACGGGAGGCAGCAGUAGGGAAUCUUGCACAAUGGAGGAAACUCUGAUGCAGCGAUGCCGCGUGAGUGAAGAAGGCCUUUGGGUUGUAAAGCUCUUUCGUCGGGGAAGAAAAUGACUGUACCCGAAUAAGAAGGUCCGGCUAACUUCGUGCCAGCAGCCGCGGUAAUACGAAGGGACCUAGCGUAGUUCGGAAUUACUGGGCUUAAAGAGUUCGUAGGUGGUUAAAAAAGUUGGUGGUGAAAUCCCAGAGCUUAACUCUGGAACUGCCAUCAAAACUUUUUAGCUAGAGUAUGAUAGAGGAAAGCAGAAUUUCUAGUGUAGAGGUGAAAUUCGUAGAUAUUAGAAAGAAUACCGAUUGCGAAGGCAGCUUUCUGGAUCAUUACUGACACUGAGGAACGAAAGCAUGGGUAGCGAAGAGGAUUAGAUACCCUCGUAGUCCAUGCCGUAAACGAUGUGUGUUAGACGUUGGAAAUUUAUUUUCAGUGUCGCAGCGAAAGCGAUAAACACACCGCCUGGGGAGUACGACCGCAAGGUUAAAACUCAAAUGAAUUGACGGGGACCCGCACAAGUAGUGGAGCAUGUGGUUUAAUUCGAAGAUACGCGCAGAACCUUACCAACACUUGACAUGUUCGUCGCGACUCUAAGAGAUUAGAGUUUUCGGUUCGGCCGGACGAAACACAGGUGCUGCAUGGCUGUCGUCAGCUCGUGUCGUGAGAUGUUGGGUUAAGUCCCGCAACGAGCGCAACCCUUACUUUUAGUUGCCAUCAUUUAGUUGGGCACUCUGAGAGAACUGCCAGUGAUAAGCUGGAGGAAGGUGGGGAUGACGUCAAGUCCUCAUGGCCCUUAUGUGUUGGGCUACACACGUGCUACAAUGGUAUCUACAACAGGAAGCAAGAUGGCAACAUUAAGCAAAUCCCAAAAAGAUACCUCAGUUCGGAUUGCACUCUGCAACUCGAGUGCAUGAAGCUGGAAUUACUAGUAAUCGUGGAUCAGCGUGCCACGGUGAAUACGUUCCCGGGUCUUGUACACACCGCCCGUCACACCAUGGGAGUUGGUUCUACCUUAAGGCAAAGUUUAAAACCUUUGACCACGGUAUAGUCAGCGACUGGGGUGAAGUCGUAACAAGGUAACCAA